UACAGAGGUCCCGAGCGUUGUUCGGAUUCAUUGGGCGUAAAGGGUGCGUAGGCGGUGGGGUAAGUUGGAUGUGAAAUCUUGGGGCUUAACCUCAAAAUUGCAUUCAAUACUGCUCCGCUCGAGUUCUGUAGAGGAGAUUGGAAUUUACGGUGUAGCAGUGAAAUGCGUAGAUAUCGUAAGGAACGCCAGUGGCGAAAGCGAAUCUCUGGGCAGCAACUGACGCUGAGGCACGAAGGCCAGGGGAGCAAACAGG
rnacentral:rRNA from 1 species